rnacentral:rRNA from 1 species
GCUUACGGCCAUACCAACCUGGCUAUGCCCGAUCUCGUCUGAUCUCGGAAGCUAAGCAGGUUUGGGCCUGGUUAGUACUUGGAUGGGAGACCCCCUGGAAUACCAGGUGCUGUAAGCU